AUGCAAACUGCACCUACUAUCAAGAAGAAGAAGAUUUUGUGUUCCACCGAUAGUAUUAUCUGGCGAGAAGCCGGACCACCCAACAUCUGCAACACGGAAGAGGGCACGGACGGCGUCAACGCGAGGACAGCAACGUAGUGGAGCACGGACACAGCCGGCCAGGGCACGGACCAAGCCCGCACGCUUUGCCUCCCCCUCUACAGAGCCCUCCUCGGCUGGCUCGGACACGGACACCGGGCGCACACCUCAGCUGGACAAUUCGGACAAAGCAACGGGUGGCACAGUGACACAACUCCCACCCUUUCAGCAGGCGAUUGGACGACGCUGCAGGCCCUCAUUGCGCAAGCACGUGGGCCCUCCUCGGGCUCAGGUCACCGCGACGGAGGAGGUGCAGUGACAUCGGACAACAGUGCAGUGUCGCUGCCGCCCUUGUUCCUGCGAGAAGCAGGCCUCGCCGAGACGCCGACAACAGUUCCCGCGCACCUCCUGCCCUGCAACUUCACCCUGCAACUGUGAGGACCCUAUUCAACUCCCCGCAGCCAGCGGCGAGGCGUACUUACAGGGCUAAGUGGGUGGAGUACGCCGCCUACGUCUCGGCAGGACGGUGAGGAGAAUGCCCCUUCGAUGCUGCACCUUCGACUCUGGUGAACUUCCUGCAAUCUCUGCCCUCGCGGGGCCUGGCUUACCGCUCUCUGCACGCCUAUCUAGCGGCCAUCGCCUUCGUCCGCAAGCUACACGGUAGGAGGGACCCAACUCGGCAGUUCCUGGUCACGUAACUCCGCACAGCGGGCCCCUGCACGGCGUCUCCCUGUGACGAGGGGCCCCCUGCAUCGCCUGCUGCGGGCACUGGGAGGCAUAUGUAACUCCGCCUAUGAGAGCCACGACGUUUCUGACAGUUGGAGCCGUCAGCUGAUCAUGCUGCCAGAGGCAUGAGUUGUGUGCCCGCGGCUCCAGGUGUAGACCCAGUCAGCUGACCGUGUUGCCAGAGACGUGUCAAGAGGAGUGUUGCCACCAGCAGACGAUCCCACUUAUAGACAUUUCCUUAUGCAAUUUAUAUGUGUAUAUUACCUUUUCUUCAGUAAACUUUUAAACUAAC